AGCGGUCAGGCUGGGUAGCCAUCCCGCCCUCACUGCAGCUCCUCCGCUCCUUGCGGUGCACCCGGGAGUGCAGCACCAUUUGGUGGGAGCUCUGAAAAGGAAAACUUUUACCGCAGAUGCAACAGCUGUGGCACAUGGUCUUGUCAGCAUCCAUAUCGUUCUUGCUUAGCUUGCCAGGGCUGGAGGAUCUCCGUAACUCCAUUUCUGCCUCUCUUCUACGAUCCAUCAGUAUUACUGCAACAACAGCUGCUCAGGAGAGUCCAAAGUGAAAAUUUCCUUCUGUAAGAAGAUGGCAUAGGUCACCUGAAACAAGAACAAAAUCAUACGAAUGUACAGAUUCUUAAAUAUAUUAAAAUAUAUUCGUGUUUCAACAAUUCCA